AGUGAACGCUGGCGGUAGGCCUAACACAUGCAAGUCGAACGGCAGCACAGUAAGAGCUUGCUCUUACGGGUGGCGAGUGGCGGACGGGUGAGGAAUACAUCGGAAUCUACUUUUUCGUGGGGGAUAACGUAGGGAAACUUACGCUAAUACCGCAUACGACCUACGGGUGAAAGCAGGGGAUCUUCGGACCUUGCGCGAUUGAAUGAGCCGAUGUCGGAUUAGCUAGUUGGCGGGGUAAAGGCCCACCAAGGUGACGAUCCGUAACUGGUCUGAGAGGAUGAUCAGCCACACUGGAACUGAGACACGGUCCAGACUCCUACGGGAGGCAGAAGUGGGGAAUAUUGGACAAUGGGCGCAAGCCUGAUCCAGCUAUACCGCGUGGGUGAAGAAGGCCUUCGGGUUGUAAAGCCCUUUUGUUGGGAAAGAAAAGCAGCAGGUUAAUACCCCGCUGUUCUGACGGUACCCAAAGAAUAAGCACCGGCUAACUUCGUG
rnacentral:rRNA from 1 species